rnacentral:lncRNA from 1 species
GGGAGUUUCCCUGCACAAGCUGCCUUCUCCUGUCUGCCACCACGUGAGAUGUGCCUUUCACCUUCCACUAUGAUUGUGAGGCCUCACCAGCCAUGUGGAACUAGUUCAAGAUUUCAACAUUUUAAGAUAAUCUGAAAAAAAUUGGAAUGUGCCCCCAGCUGCCAAUACUCUCUCAACACUGUUUAUCAAAGGAACCAAUAUGGAAGGAAAAACAUUGCUUUGAAGGGAAGAUGGAUGGAUCCCCUAGUAAACUACAGCUUGAGGUGCAAUUUCCUAAAGUUCAAAUGCCUGAAAAAGGAAACGAAAGAAAGAAACUCAACUCUUGAGACAGCUUCAAUGCUAGCUUUGAUCUCAAUUAUAGAGUUAUUUAUGAAAAGUGCAUUUUUACAACUAAAAAUAAAUUAGGAUCAAAAGCUUCUAGAGGCUAUACUAUGGAGUGCUUAAUAAAAAGUUGAGUAAAGAGUAAUGAAUGGCUUUGUACUAUUAAUUUGAAAGAAUUACCUUCUCUUUUAAACAGCUGCCAAGAUAGUGAAGAUUGACAUGUCACAGGAAAUUAAAACAAAUGGUUUCUAGUCCUGUAUGCCUUGGUGGGUAAACAGUAGGAUAGAGCCCUUACCUGGGAAGCUGUGGGCUGGACUCUACCUCUAACUGUGUGCAACCAUUAAAGGAGCAACCUUCAGCAAGUUUAUUUAACUCUCUGGGCCUCAAAUUACCUACUCCUAAAGUGCACGAGAAGAACUAGUUCUUCUCUGAAAUUCUUCCUGUCUCCAAUGGCC